AGGGGUAUAGCUCAGUGGCAGAGUGCAGGCUUAGCAUGCACGAGGUCCUGGGUUCAAUCCCCAGUAACUCCU
rnacentral:tRNA from 1 species